rnacentral:rRNA from 1 species
AUUUGAACGCUGGGCGGCGAGGCCUAAUACAUGCAAGUCGAACGGUAACAUAGAAGAAGCUUUGCUUCUUUUGAUGACGAGUGGCGGACGGGUGAGUAAUAUUUGGGAAACUACCUGAUAGAGGGGGACAACAGUUGGAAACGACUGCUAAUACCGCAUAUAGCCUGAGGGUGAAAGCAGCAAUGCGCUAUCAGAUGUGCCCAAACGGGAUUAGCUAGUAGGUGAGGUAAAGGCUCACCUAGGCGACGAUCUCUAGCUGGUCUGAGAGGAUGAUCAGCCACAUUGGGACUGAGACACGGCCCAGACUCCUACGGGAGGCAGCAGUAGGGAAUAUUGCACAAUGGAGGAAACUCUGAUGCAGCCAUGCCGCGUGUGUGAAGAAGGCCUUCGGGUUGUAAACUUCUUUUAGCAGGGACGAAGAACGUGACGGUACCUGGAGAAAAAGCAACGGCUAACUACGUG